AACCUGCUGCUUCUUCACCAGGAAAAGCUGUUUCAACUCACCUGAGCUCUGCUCUGGUGCUCUUGAAACUUUGGUUCAGCUUUUUGUAGAGGAUGAAAGUGAGUCAGGACCCCCUGCCUUCUCCAGUCAUCUCCAUCAGCAACCACCACUGAGAGUUACACUUUGAUUCUGUUGAAAUUUCAGUUUCAGGUGCAGUGUGGUGCCAAUGACUGUAGUGGGAUGCUUCCGGGAAAUGGUGAAGUAGGAACCUGAGGGUAGGGAGGUGGAUUUGUCAUCAUUUUGAUAACAGAAACGCGUCCAUUGGAGCCCCAAGGACGUGAAGCUGUGCUCCUCUCAACCAGGAGCUGCAAUCAUCCCAUUAAGUAGCUUCUGGGAAAAUGGGUAAAUUCUGCCCUCUUAGAGGAUGUCCAGGGGCAGGUGGGUUCUGAAGCUAUGCAGAUCCACCAGGAAGGCAGGUGCUGUUUACUGGGUGCCCUGGAGCUGUAAGAAGGAUGGCAGCCCUGACACCUCCUCGUUUGAGCAUCAAGGUGGCAUCUGCAGCUUUGUCCCAGCACAAGCAGGUAAAGCAGGGGGUCUCCACCCCUAUCCUUCUGAAAUGAGUCCUGGAUAUCUUUUUUCCUUUGUGCAUCAAUGCUUUUGUCUGGACCUCAUGUCACUCUGUUAGGCUUUGAUCUCAAGAUAACCAGGAACAAUACAAUUUUCCUCACCCACAGGGUGAGGACUGCCACACGGGUGUGGCAAAUGAACAAAUGAGGUAUUGGACACCUCAGCAAGUGCCCUGGUCCCUGGCAUGGGGCCAGCAAGGCCUCCUCACCCUGCCCACCCUGCCUGGGGAUCUCUGGUGACUGGGAGAAGCCUCACGCUGCUCCAGGAUGUUCCAGCUACACUCAGCCCCUGAGGACCUCCUGGAGGCAAUCCCAGCCCAACACCAUCUCCUCUCACCCUUGUUGUGCUCUUGGCAUGUGAUGACAGGACCUAGGUUUUCAAGAAAUGUGUAGAUGUGGCGCUGAGGGACAUGGUUUAGUGGCCAUGGUGGUGAUGGGUUGAUGGUUGGACUAGAUGAUCUUAGUGGCCUUUUCCAGCCUUAUUGAUUCUAUGACUCUAUGAUUCAAUGAUUCUAUGAUUGCAUGGGUGCGUGCAGAGGUCUCUGAAAAGAAGCCAGCCACAGGAGAUGGUUGGGGCCUCAGUGCUAUCAGCUUGGUGGGCUUGCAGGGGUAACAGCAGCAGGGUGUGCUGGCUGCGUGCCUGCUGGCAUUGCACUCACACAGCUGAAGGGGUUAGAGUUUUCAGCUGAUUUUCUGGGGCAACUGGGUGUAAUUAUAGCUCAGAGAGGGUUGUUCCAGCUGAAAACAGCCCCAGAAUACAUUAUUAAGAGCUCUGCAGCCAGGCUGAGCUCCUGCUUGCCUGCCUGCCCUGUACCACUGUAGGCACUGAGCUUUAGCUCCCUGCCAGGUGCAGUACCUACAAGCUGACCUCCAUGUGAAUCAUAGAAUAUCCUGAGUUGGAUGGAACCCAUAAGGAUCGAGUUCAAUUUCUGAAGAGUGAAGUUGUCAGGAGAGACAAUGAAGUGAUAAAGUGCUGCUCCAGUGAUAUGACGGUGGAAGUCAGAGCUUUGGCUGGGAAGAGAGAAAGAGCCCAUGCUGGCCAGCGGGAGGAGUUCUGGGCUCUGCUGAUGUCAGUGCCUGCUCCUUGCAUGGAAAAGAUGCAACAUGUGUAAGAUAAGACGGUGCUCUCUGCUGCUCCGCAGAGGUCUCGGUUCCAUCAGUCACAGUGAAGUAAUGUGAUGCACCAGCCUCUGUCUCCAAGAAGUGACGAAGUUUGUCAGCCUGUGCUUGGGCUUCUGACAAUGAUACAUGUUCCUCAGGUCUGCUGACUUCAGCAAGGGCACCAGCAUCACUUGGAUUCUCUCUUCCAGAAGCUGCGGCUAGAAAUUUGACCACAAGGUCACAAGGACUUAGCUUGCCCCUUGGCUACUAAAGUUUCACUGGCAGGAACCCAAUCUCCAGCGCAAUCUCUUCCACUCCUACCAGGCCAUGCACUUGUCUACGGCUUAACUGUUGUUCCAGCACCACAAGCUUUGCCCAAUCCUCCACCUCCAAGAUACCAUCUUUACAGACAAGCCCAGAUGUCUGAAGCAGCCAAAGCCGGUGAUGAAGCAGUGAUUGUCCAGCACCACAAAUGUGGAGAUCCUCCAUUCCACACCAGGCAGCAAUAACCUCUCCAUUUGGGUUUUGGGUUCAACCUUGUGUGCACUCCUGAAUACAGACAUGUGUCUUUAUGUUCACAGAUGUAUGUGUGCACUGCAUGCAUAGGCUGACAAUUAGUGUUCUAAUCUACUUGCAUGAGAUAAAUCUGAUUAUGAUCUGCUGUACAACAGCAACUUCUAAUUUUCAGACUAAGCGA